CAGAGAUACAGCCCUAAACGGAGAUUUUGGAGGUUCAGAUACAUUGCCCCUACAGUUUCUAUCCUCAAACAGGGAGCCUAAUUAGACUUUAACUCUUCAACCACGACGUCCUCUCGAAGUACAGGAAAGGAAUGAACCACCAGCGCUCAGAGCCACAUGGAAGAAAUUAAACCUGGCCCGAGAUCAUCUGACUCUUCAUUUGUACCUACAGCAAGGGCAGUCUGAGGAAGAAAAGAAGAAAAAAAGAGAAAAAAGAGAAAGAGUAAUAUUCAAAAAUAAUAAUUUGGAUAAGACUCCAAAAAGAAGAGACACUCAGAACUAUUUACUACAUAUGCAUUUUGAUAUAAGGGAUAUAAGAAUUUAUUUUAUUCAAAUGAUCCCAGGCCCACCAACUGUCAAAAACUAAUAAUUAAGAGCUGAAUGUAAUAGGUUAUAUCCAGAGGUAGGACACUCGAGUUAUUAGCAAGGAGAAGAAAGAAAUGAGAACCUUCCACCCCCUCUUCCUGAACUGUGCAUUAGCCAGCACAUAAAGCCGGGCCAAACACUGCCUCCUGAGGCUAGAGAGGGCUUGACUGUGAUUUUUUUGUUGUUUAUUGUUGUUCUAUAGCUCUCCAUUUUCACACGCCUCGGCGGAAGGGAAGUAGAAAUGCUGAGUCCUGAGUGUUCGUUCUCAUGAGGAGAAAGCCACUGCAGACCCUGAUAGAGCCAGAAACCCCUUGGGCCAUAUUUUCCCUUGCUCCAUGAAGAAGGAACAUGUUUGAGUGACAUCUACUCAGAUGACCAAGGAGUUCUUAAUUUGGAAUCAAUGUUGACCAACCAAGGCUUUGGAAAACAAAGGGUUUUCUCAGUCAGUUGCUGACAUAAUCCACGGGGCUGACAUGAAUUAGUUGUACAGGCUUC